rnacentral:tRNA from 1 species
UGGGGUGUAGCCAAGCGGUAAGGCACCGGGUUUUGAUCCCGGCAUUCCUAGGUUCGAUCCCUAGCACCCCAG